rnacentral:rRNA from 1 species
UACGUAGGCAGCAAGCGUUGUUCGGAGUUACUGGGCGUAAAGGGCGUGUAGGCGGUCUUCUAAGUUUGGUGUGAAAUCUCCCGGCUCAACUGGGGAGGGUCGUGCGAUACGGUCGGACUCGAGGCCAGUAGGGGGACGCGGAAUUCCGGGUGUAGUGGUGGAAUGCGUAGAGAUCCGGAGGAACACCAGCGGCGAAGGCGGCGUCCUGGACUGGUACUGACGCUCAGGAGCGAAAGCGUGGGGAGCGAUCCGG